rnacentral:rRNA from 1 species
AUGAACGCUGGCGGCGUGCCUAAUACAUGCAAGUCGAGCGAACGGACGAGAAGCUUGCUUCUCUGAUGUUAGCGGCGGACGGGUGAGUAACACGUGGAUAACCUACCUAUAAGACUGGGAUAACUUCGGGAAACCGGAGCUAAUACCGGAUGAUAUUUUGAACCGCAUGGUUCAAAAGUGAAAGACGGUCUUGCUGUCACUUAUAGAUGGACCCGCGCUGCAUUAGCUAGUUGGUAAGGUAACGGCUUACCAAGGCAACGAUGCAUAGCCGACCUGAGAGGGUGAUCGGCCACACUGGAACUGAGACACGGUCCAGACUCCUACGGGAGGCAGCAGUAGGGAAUCUUCCGCAAUGGGCGAAAGCCUGACGGAGCAACGCCGCGUGAGUGAUGAAGGUCUUCGGAUCGUAAAACUCUGUUAUUAGGGAAGAACAUAUGUGUAAGUAACUGUGCACAUCUUGACGGUACCUAAUCAGAAAGCCACGGCUAACUACGUG